GGGGCUGUAGCUCAGUGGUAGAGCACUUGCCUUGAACGUGUGAGGCCCUGGGUUCGAUCCCCAGCACCA
rfam:Ictidomys tridecemlineatus contig054075, whole genome shotgun sequence.